CCGGGACCUUGUCCUCCCCGUGGAAGCCUGCCAGGCAGCCCCCAGCAGGGUGCCAUAGCAGCCUGAGGGCACCACAUUCUGGAAGCUAAGCAGGGUCAGGCCUGGCUGGGGAGUGGAUUGAAGACUACCUGGGGAGACUGGGGCCUGGAGGCUUUUAGCUGCCUUCCUGCUUUCCUCUGCUUGUCACCUCGCUUCCAAACUGCCCCCUAACUCUCUGACCCGCUCUUUCACACCUGCCUGCGCCCAUGCCGCGGCUAGGGACCUCUCCGUGGCGGUCGGUCCUGGCUGCCCCAGUGUGCCAUAGCAGCCUGAGGACGCCCCAGCCCAGAAGCUAAGCAGGGUUGGACCUGGUUGGGGCUUGGAUGGGAGACCACCUGGGCCCAGGACCUCCCAGUGGGUUUCCGUCCCAGCAGCCCGGGCGCCACAGCAGUCUGACAGCGCCCCAUCCCAGAAGCUCACCUGCACCCCUGCUGUGGAAGAAAACCUACCUAUAGGGGUACUCCCUGGCAGCCCAUGAAGCCAUAGUAGCCUGAAAGUGCUCAAGCCCAGAAAACAAUAGUUACUUCUGUGAGAUGAAUGGAAACUAUGUUCCAAUGGGAUCCAAAAUGUCCCUUCAAAAAUUCUACAAAAAGACUGCUUCCAAUCUGCUUAAUCAGAACAAAGGUUUAACUCCAUGAGAUGCAUCCAAACAUUGCAAAGCAUUUUCACAUAUAGCUUUUUUCUAGUUUUUAUCACGGGAUAUUCAUUUUUUCACUAUAGCCCCAAUUAGCUCCAAAAUGUCCAUUCAUAGAUUUUACAAAAACAGUGUUUCUAACAUGCUGAAUGAAAACAAAGGUUUAACUCUGUGAUAUGAAUCCACACAUUGGAAAGUGUUUUCACAGAUAGUUUGUUUCUAGGUUUUAUCAUGGAAUAUUCAGUUUUUCACUAUAGGUUUCAAUUAGCUCCAAAACAUCCAUUCGUAGAUGCUACAAAAAGAGUGUUUCCAACCUGCUGAAUCAAAACAAAGGUUUAAUUCUGAGAUAAAUCCACACAUCACAAAGCGGUUUCACAGAUACCUUGUUUCUAGUUUCUAUCGUGGAAUGUUUGGUUUUCUUACUAUGGGCCUCAAUGGGCUCUGAAAGUUCCCUUAGAUAUUACAAAAAGAUUGUUUACAACCUGCUGAAUCAAAGCAAUGUUUUAACUCUGUGAGAGAAAUCCAAAUGUCACAAAACAUUGUUAGAGGUAGCUUGCUUCUAGUUUUCAUCACUAGAUAAUCAGUUUCUUAAUAUAGGCCUCAAUGAGCUCAGAAAUGUCCCUUUGUAGAUUCUACAAGAAGACAGUUUCCAACCUGCUUAAUCAGAACAAAGGUUUACCUCUAUGAGAUGAAUCCACACAUUGCAGAGAAUUUUAACAGAUAGCUUGUUUCUGGAGUUUACUGCAGAAUAUUUGGUUUUCCACUAUAGGCUUCAAUGAGCUCAAAAAUCGCCCUUCGUAGAUUCACAAGAAGAGUGUUUCCAACCUGCUGAAUCAAAACAAAGUUUUAACUCUGCGAGAUGAAUCAACAUAUCACAAAGUAUUUUCAAGGAUAUCUUCUUUCUAGGUUUCAUUAUGAGAUAUUCCCUUUUUAACUAUGUGUUUCAAUGGGCUUCAGAAUGUCCCCUUGUAGUUUGUUCAAAAAGAGUGUUUCCAACCUUCUGAAUAAAAAGAAAAGUUUAACUCUGUGAGAUGAAACCACAUUUGAAGAGCAUUUUGACAGAUUGCUUGUUUCUAGGUUGUAUCAUGAGAUAUUUGUUUCUUCACUAUAUUUUCCAAGGGGCUCUGAAAUGUCCCCUUGUAGAUUCUACAAGAAGAGUGCUCCAACCUGCUGAAUCAAAACAUAUGUUUAACUCUGUGAGGUGAAUCCACACAUCACAAAGCAUUUUCACAGAUAGCCUACUUCUAGUUUUUAUUGUGGGAUAUUCAGUUUUUCACUACAGGCCUAAAUGGGCUUUCAAAUAUUCCUUUGUAGAUUCUAUAAAAUGAGUGUCUCCAACCUGUGGUAUCAAAACAAAUGUUUAUCUCCGUGAGAUUAAUUCACACUUCACAAUGCAUUGUUUCUAGCUUUUUGUUGUUGUUGUUGGAUAUUCCUUUUUACACCAUAUGUUUCAAUGGGCUAUGAAAUAUCCAUUCAUAAAGAGUACAAAAAAAGUGUCUCCAACCUGCUGAAUCAAAACAAAGGUUUAACCCUGUAAGAUAAAAUGACACAUUGCAAAGCAUUUUCACAGAUAGCUUGUUUUUAGUUUUUAUCAUGGGACUUUUGGUUUGUUACUCUAGGCUUCCAAGGGCUCAUGUCCCUUCAUAGAUUCUGCAGAGUGUUUUCAAUGUGCUGAAUCAAAACAACAGUUUUAGUCUGUGAGAUGAAUCCAAACAUUGAAAAGCAUUCUGAAAGACACCUUGUUUGCAGUUUUUAUCACAGGAUAUUCAGUUUUCCAAUAUAGGCAGCUCUGAGAUGUCCCAUCUUGGAUUCUACAAUUAGAGUCUGUGCAACUGCUGAAUCAAAAGAAAGGUUUAAUUCUGUGACUUGAAUCCACACAUCACAAAGCAUCAUCACAGAUAGCUUGCUACUAGUUUUUAUUGUAAGAUACUCGGUUUUUCACUAUAGAUUUAAAUGGACUCUGAAACGUGCCUUUGUAGAUUCUACAAAAAGAGCAUUUCUAACCUCCUGAAUCAAAACAACAGUUUAACUCUAUUAGAUGAAUCCACACAUUGCAAAGCAUUUUCACGGAUAGCUUGUUUCUAGUUUGUAUAACGGGAUAUUCAGUUUUUAAAUAUAGGCCUCAAUGGGCUCUUAAAUGUCACUUCGUACAUAUCACAGAGUGCUUCCAACCCUGCUGAAUAAAAAUAAAUGUUUAUCUCUGUGAGCUGAAUCAACACAUUGCAAAACAUUAUCAUGGAUAUCUAGUUUCUAAUUUUUAUCAAGAGAUAUUCAGUUUUUUACUAUAGGCAUCAAUGGUCUCUGAAAUGUCCCUUCAUCGAUUCUACAAAAAAAGUGUUUCCAAACUCCUGAAUCAAAAAAAAAAAGGUUUAACUCUAUGAGAUGAAUCCACACAUUACAAUGCACUUUCACAGAUAGUUUGUUUCUAGUUUUUAUUGUGGGAUAUUGGGUUUUUCACUAUAAGCCUCAAUGGGCCCUGAAAUGUUCACUCGUAGAUUCUAUUAAAAAAAAAAAAAAAAGGGUUUCCAACCUGCUGAAUCCAAUCUAAGGUUUAACUCUGUGAAAUGAAUCCACACAUCACAAAGAAUUUUCAGAUAGCUUGUUUCUAGUUUUUAUUGCAGAAUAUUUAGUUUUUCACUGUAGGCCUCUAUGGGCUCCAAAAUAUCCCUUCGUAGAUUCUACAAAAAAAGUGUUUCCAAACUGCUGAAUCAAAACAAAGUUUUAACUCUAUGACAUGAAUCCACACACUGCAAAGCAUUUUCACAGAUAGUUCGUUUCUAGUUUUUAUCAUGGAAUAUUACGUUUUUCACUAUACGCCUCAAUGGGA
rnacentral:lncRNA from 10 species